rnacentral:rRNA from 1 species
UGAGGAAUAUUGCACAAUGGGGGAAACCCUGAUGCAGCAACGCCGCGUGGGUGAGGAAGGCCUUCGGGUCGUAAAGCCCUUUUAGCAGGGACGAAAGAUGACGGUACCUGCAGAAAAAGCACCUGCUAACUACGUGCCAGCAGCAGCGGUAAUACGUAGGGUGCGAGCGUUAUUCGGAAUCACUGGGCGUAAAGCGCAUGUAGGUGGUUUAGUAAGUCCGAUGUGAAAGCCCACGGCUCAACCGUGGAAGUGCAUUAGAUACUGCUAGACUUGAGUGCAGGAGAGGAGAGCGGAAUUCCCGGUGUAGAGGUGGAAUUCGUAGAUAUCGGGAGGAACACCAGUGGCGAAGGCGACUUUCUGGCUGUCUGCUGACACUGAAACACGAGAGCUAGGGGAGCAAACA